rnacentral:rRNA from 1 species
CAGCGCCACGAGUGGGGAUCGCGAUUAUUGGGCCUAAAGCGUCCGUAGCCUGCUUUGUAAGUCCUUUGUGAAAUCGUUGGGCUAAACUCAACGACGUGCAGAGGAUACUGCAAAGCUCGAGACCGGGAGGGGCUGGAGGUAUUCUGUGGGGAGCGGUAAAAUGCUAUAAUCCACGGAGGACCACCGAUGGCGAAGGCAUCCAGCCAGAACGGAUCUGACGGUGAGGGACGAAAGCCAGGGGAGCGAACCGGAUUAGAUACCCGAGUAGUCC